CCAUGCCUGGUUUAAGAUUUCGAUGGACCUGUCACAAUCCAGUUUGCAGAAUUUCACCCGAGAGAUACUCAUCCAUCAUCAAUAUCACAAGUAUUUCUUUUAUUUUCUGGUCCCAACAAGCUUCUCUUUUUCCUCAGUCGUCGUUGUAUCCGUCAGUUUCUAUAAUGCCUCGACAACAGAAGCUUUUGUCAUCACGAGUGCUUAAAGUGUGAUUCGCUGAAUCCAUAGGGUUACCCAUUGCAGGAUCUACUGAUUAUUGGCUUGGCAGAGGAUGUGAAAUACAAGAAUGAAGAUUUGAGAGGUAUUUGAAUGGGAACCGGCUUGUUAGGACAAUAAGAAUGAAGUUUAAAAACAUGGACAGUUCGUAGAAGAACCCCAGCAGUGACAAGCAGUGACAUGGAUAGUUUGUUAAGGAAUCACAUCAGUUACACAUGGACAUGUCUACAAGGUGUACGUGUGGACAUCGUUAGACGAUGUACAUGUGGACGUGGACAUAAUGGUUUAGCUUCUUGUAACAUAAUGGACAACAAAAAUUAUUGUCUAUGUGUAUGCUUAUGUCAUGUACAUGUUUUCAUGAGAGUACUUGU